rnacentral:rRNA from 1 species
AUUGAACGCUGGCGGCAGGCCUAACACAUGCAAGUCGAGCGAGCGGCGGACGGGUGAGUAAUGUAUGGGGAUCUGCCCGAUAGAGGGGGAUAACUACUGGAAACGGUAGCUAAUACCGCAUACCAUCGGAUGUGCCCAUAUGGGAUUAGCUAGUAGGUGUGGUAAAGGCUCACCUAGGCGACGAUCCCUAGCUGGUCUGAGAGGAUGACCAGCCACACUGGAACUGAGACACGGGCCAGACUCCUACGGGAGGCAGCAGUGGGGAAUAUUGCACAAUGGGCGCAAGCCUGAUGCAGCCAUGCCGCGUGUAUGAAGAAGGCCUUCGGGUUGUAAAGUACUUUCAGUGGGGAGGCGUUACCGGCAGAAGAAGCACCGGCUAACUCCGUGCCAGCAGCCGCGGUAAUAC